rnacentral:rRNA from 1 species
UACGUAGGGGUCGAGCGUUGUCCGGAGUUACUGGGCGUAAAGCGCGCGCAGGUGGCUCAUUACGCCCGGCGUGAAAGCCCCCGGCCUGACCGGGGAAGGUCGUCGGGUACGGGUGAGCUUGAGGGUAUCAGGGGCUGGUGGAAUUCCCGGUGUAGUGGUGAAAUGCGUAGAGAUCGGGAGGAACACCCGUGGCGAAGGCGGCCAGCUGGGAUACACCUGACACUGAGGCGCGAAGGCGUGGGGAGCGAACGGG